rnacentral:rRNA from 1 species
GCCUACGGGGGGCAGCAGUGGGGAAUAUUGCACAAUGGGCGAAAGCCUGAUGCAGCAACGCCGCGUGAGCGAUGAAGGCCUUCGGGUCGUAAAGCUCUGUCCUCAAGGAAGAUAAUGACGGUACUUGAGGAGGAAGCCCCGGCUAACUACGAGCCAGCAGCCGCGGUAAUACGUAGGGGGCUAGCGUUAUCCGGAAUUACUGGGUGUAAAGGGAGCGUAGACGGUCCUGCAAGCCAGAUGUGAAAGCCCGGGGUUCAACCCCGGGACUGCAUUUGGAACUGUAAGGC